rnacentral:tRNA from 1 species
GCUCCCUUGGUCUAGCCUGGAUAAGAUACGACCUUGCGGAGGUUGUGACCUGGGUUCGAAGACGGUCAAGUGGGACGUUCGCUUCGCGAAGCCCCACGGAUAAUGCUAGAGAAUGUCGAAAGUCCCAGAGGGAGCG